rnacentral:rRNA from 1 species
CAGCACCUCAAGUGGUCAGGAGGAUUAUUGGGCCUAAAGCAUCCGUAGCUUGCUCUGUAAGUUUCCGGUUAAAUCCAUUAGCUCAACUAAUGGCCUGCCGGAAAUACUGCAAAGCUAGGGAGUGGGAGAGGUAGACGGUACUCGGUAGGAAGGGGUAAAAUCCUUUGAUCUAUUGAUGACCACCUGUGGCGAAGGCGGUCUACCAGAACACGUUCGACAGUGAGGGAUGAAAGCUGGGGGAGCAAACCGGAUUAGAUACCCGGGUAGUCCCAGCUGUAAACGAUGCAGACUCGGUGAUGCCCUGGCUUGUGGCCAGUGCAGUGCCGCAGGGAAGCCGUUAAGUUUGCCGCCUGGGAAGUACGUACGCAAAGUAUG